CCCUACGUGUCGCGCUAAAUUAUUAAAAUUUGUCAAAAAGAAAAAUUAAUGUGAAAAGUAGACAAGAUCAAACAAUAAUGGGAAAAGGCCAGUCGAAAGAAAAGGAGGAAAUAAUAAUCGCGCAGUCAGGAAAUACUGGAUGUACAACGGCUAAUGGAAGUACAAGUACUGGGCUUUCCUUAAUUGAAGUUGUGGAAGUUGUGGCUGUAGCAGCAUUAGUAUUACUGAUACUGUCUUAGAAGGCCAAGAAGAGCACUAAAAAGUCAAAUAGCAAGAGACAUUGCAAGAAGCUAGCAGAUCGCGUAAGAAGGUAAAACUGGUUGUCCACACCGGAGCCAGCACCGAGGGAACGUUCCUAGCAGUUGCGCAAUGCGGCUAGGGCGCAACGAGGGAUACCAACCUGUCAAUAUUAACAACCCCCGAACCCAAACGUUACAUGGCACACAUCGUUACAUGGCAAUACAUUACAUACAACAAAACCCACGGGAUAAGUUGGAACUUCAAGAGCAGGAAGAUGAACAGCAUAAAACGUUUAGGUAGAAGAAUGGGCAGCAUGGGCAAGAAAAGAGAGUUUAGUGAAUACUAGUAUAUAUAGCGCGAAGCAUUCCACAAAACACUGAAAUAUGGGAUUGAUAGUCUACUUUGCGUCCUAUUGAAACUCGACGAUAAUUAUUUUUCGCAACGAAUAAGGGCAGACCCACAAAAAGGAUGCAGCAAAUCAAUGCACGACACCUAAAUAUGCUUUGUAUGACUGAAGAAGACUACCCAAUUAAAAAGAAUGGCAAUGGUUAUUUCAGAAGCAGAAUUAUGUUAUUUUUAAAAAAGGAGUGCCCCAAAAAAUCGUAAAAACCAUAUGCAAACACAUUUAUUCUUUGUGUCAUAUUGGAAAGGUGGAACAGGUCGUAGAUAGAGUUGUAGAGCUAAUAGAUAAGAGCUUACAGUUAGCGAAUGCUGUAGAAGAGGAGGUAAAUACUGUAUUAGAGUUGGAGAGGCAUUGAGAUAGAUCAUACAAAAGCAAAAGAAAUUAUAUAUUCUCAAAUGUAUCAUUAAAAACAAAAUUAAGACA